GAUGAAGAACGCAGCAAAAUGCGAUAAGUAAUGUGAAUUGCAGAAUUCAGUGAAUCAUCGAAUCUUUGAACGCACAUUGCGCCCGCCAGUAUUCUGGCGGGCAUGCCUGUUCGAGCGUCAUUUCAACCCUCAAGCUCAGCUUGGUGUUGGGACUCGCGGUAACCCGCGUUCCCCAAAUCGAUUGGCGGUCACGUCGAGCUUCCAUAGCGUAGUAAUCAUACACCUCGUUACUGGUAAUCGUCGCGGCCACGCCGUAAAACCCCGACUUCUGAAUGUUGACCUCGGAUCAGGUAGGAAUACCCGCUGAACUUAAGCAUAUCAAUAAGCGGAGGA
rnacentral:misc_RNA from 1 species